UUCCCGGACCACGCCUGGCUGAGGGUCG
rnacentral:rRNA from 28 species